rnacentral:sRNA from 1 species
CCCAACGCCCAGGUGCCCCGGCUUGCGCUCUGGCCCGGGCGAAUCGGGCUAUAGGAAGGGCCACACGGAUGGAAGUCCUAGUCCGGGUGCUUACCUCUUGUGGAACGUGCAAAGCCUGUCCCAGGACCUCUUUACACUCUGGGGGUCUCUGCCCAGGCACGCUUGCUGCUUCCGGACACAGCUGUGGGCGGAGCUAGUAGGGGCGGGGCUACGUGAUUGACACUUCUCUCCUCAGACUUCAAGGGCUACCACUGGACCCUUCCCCUGUCUUGAACCCUGAGCCGGCACCAUGGUGAGAACCCUGAGCCCAGCCCUUCACCUCCGCAGGCCCGCGCCCUCACCCCCAGUGGCAGUGCCAUGGUUGCCCCGUAUGAACCUAGGGCUCCACAGUGUGGGGUUUUUGCAGGUCAGCUCCUGCAAGGCAACCUGCACUCUUCCAACCCGUUCAUCCUUGUAGCACGGACGCCUGAAGGUGAAGACGUCAGAAGAGCAGGCGGAGGCCAAAAGGCUAGAGCGAGAGCAGAAGCUGAAGCUAUACCAGUCAGCCACCCAGGCCGUAUUCCAGAAGCGCCAGGCUGGUGAGCUGGAUGAGUCCGUGCUGGAACUGACAAGCCAGAUUCUGGGAGCCAACCCUGAUUUUGCCACCCUCUGGAACUGCCGACGAGAGGUGCUCCAGCA